rnacentral:lncRNA from 1 species
AAGUACUAGAAGCAAUCACCCCAUAUAAUCUAGGAAGGGGGUAUGUCUUUUGGAUAGAGACCCCUCCCAUGGACAGUGGUUUGGGCUACUCUUCCUGCUGCCCCAGUUAAUGGGGGCAUCUGAUUCAAGACCCAGCUCCUCCUUCUAAUUUUAUUUCCAUUUGUCUGUUGAACUAGGAGUGCUUGGCUUGGGCUUGCUGAAUUCUCUGCAAAAGUCCUUUUGAGAGAAAAGCAUUAAUAAAACUCCCUAAAGAGUCAUGAGUCCUCUUCUCCCCAUGAUCCUGACAUACAAGAGAGCCUAUUGAUUGUCAGCCAGCAUCACACUGGUUACCUCCUAGAGCCCGUGGGAAGAAGUGUCUCAGUGCUUUGAGCAUGUCACUGGGUUGAAAUGGGUUUCUAUGAUAAUUAACACUAAAUGAGCACACAAGCAGAGCUUCUUGUCUUGCAAAUUUGAAACCUGCAUUAGCUAAUUAAUUCUAAUUAGAGGCUGACAGUUCCAUCUAGCACAGUGAGCAAGUAAUAGGUGGGAUUUUCCCCUUGUGUCUUGACAAUUUAAUAUAAAUAGACCUGGGGACUUCUUUCUAGGUCCAUCAGCCAGUGAGGCAUUUGAAGGUACCCCUUUCUUGGAAAAAGAUUUUGGCAUUUGGGGAAACUUGUUUGUAUCCCACAAAUAUGUAGUGAGCACAGACAUUGGCUACGAAUUGGGCUAGGUGCUAAAGGAGACACCAUUGCCACUCUUUUGAAUCUCAAAGUCUAGUUGGGGAGGUGCAAACAAACAAACAGAAUCCAGUGGCAUCCUAGCCAAAGCAGUAGGACAAGAAAAAAAAAAAAGAGGAAUAUGCUAAUAUUAGAAAGGAAGAUCAAAAAUGUCAUGAUUUGUCUGAAUCAAUUUAUAUGACAUUUUAAAAAAGGCAGAAUUAUACUGAUAAGAACAGAUCAAGGUUUGUCAGGGGUUGGGGAUGGAAGGAGGCAUUGACUAGAAAGAUGCAGCACAAAAGACUCGUUUGGAAUUGUGCUGAUGGUGGUUAUGCAAAUCUAUAUUUGUGUUGAAACUCAGAAUCGUACACCAAAAAAAGAGAAGAUCCAAUUUUUGUGCAUGUUAUUUUCAAAAAUAAAAGAAAAAGACUACAGCUACAUGAAUCAACAUCUGUCCAUCUCAGUGUUGAGUGAAAAACAAAUUCAUAUACUAUUGUUUAAAUUUUCAGUUUUUGAAAAACAUGUCUUCAAGAAGUAAGCCUUAGUUAAGUAGGUGUAUGUAUGUGUUUUUGUAACAUGGAGAUGUUUUAAAUUAAUGUAUAAACUCACUGAAGUAAACAAACAAGGAAAGAAUUGUACACUUUAAUCCAUAUAAAUAUAAAUUGAUGGAGUUCCCACUGUAGUGCAGUGGGUUAAGGAUCCAACUGCAGCAGCUCAGGUCGAUGUGGAGGUGCAGGUUUGAUCCCUGGAUCGGUGCAGUGGGUUAAGGAUCUGGCAUUGUCACAGCUGUGGCUCAGAUUUGAUCCCUGGCCUGGGAACUUCCAUAUGCUAUGGGUUCAGCAAAAAAAUCAACAUAAAAAGACAGAAUUCUCAUGGCAUUUGAGAAUGAUUCUACUUGUUCCUGAGCCCCUAGGUUUUGUGAGAUGUCUCAAUAUCUUUAUGAUAAAUUUUAUCAUUUUGUUUAGAUGCAAAGGUCAUAAUUUAUAGAUGAUUUGGCUAUUUUUUAAAAGAAAUUCAAAAGAUUCAGCUAAAAGUGGUUGAUGCUAAUGAGAAGGUUCAGUAAGAUAACUGGAUACAAAAUGAACAUAAAGAAGAAAAUAGCAUUCCUAUUGAUCAGAAACAUGUAAUUAGAAAAUGUAAUGUAAAAAAUUACCCCAUUCGUUAGAGCAGCAAUGACAAAGAAGAUAAAACUCUUUGAGGGUAACUAGAAAUAUGCUGGAUUUAUAAGAAGGCAGAUAUAAAAGUUUACUGAAAGCCAUGAAGAACGGCCAGAAUCAGUGGAGACAUAUUAAGGUCCUGGAUGGGAAGAGUCAAUCAAUAGCUUAAAGAUGUCAGUCCUUUCCAAUUUAAUAUGUACACUCAAUGCAAUAUCAAUAAAAAUUUGCCUGCACAAAAGCAUGGACAGUGUGAGGGUUGAUUGCUUGGAAAUUUUGCAAUCCAAGUAGACUACGGAGUUGGGGGUGGGCAGGGGUUAGUUUUUAGGUUUGGCAAGGGGGGAACAUGCAAGGCCAAGUUGGUGAAGCAAGAGAAAUUAAUUAAGUCAUCCAAAGCUGAUGGGCUGAGCUCAAGAUAGCACCAGUGCUGACUGAUAGGACAUGUUAGGCUUAUAAAGGAUCUGUGGCCAGAAUCAGUGGCAGGAAUUUAUGGCAGGAACAAUAGAAAAGGAGGAGGGGAGGCUUAGGGGCGGGGUGGGCAUCAAGGCCCAUGACAGAGGGCAGUUAAUCUUUGUAGGCAGUUAAUCUAUGGAGGCAGUUUUUCCCCCUGCAGGCCAUUGUUUCUUGCUGCCCAACUUGAGCAUCCACAUUCUGGGAAAGGGUGUAAAUUUUGCACUGGGCUGUACCCAUGUCAACAGCAGGUCCCCAAGGUGAAUAGCCAUGUUCCGGGGGAGGGGGGCUAAGAAUGGGAGGGUCUGUCACCAUCAUCCUGUGAACCUAUCACUUAGAUGUCCAUCUGGGAGUGUAGUAUGAAGACCAAGGACUAUGACCUGUACAUGGCAGCUCACAAGAAGUUCUUGAAGAUUUUAAUUCAAUCCCCAAGAAGAUCUGAGUUGUCUGAGAAAUAUAUACUGGCUCAUGUGCAGGAUGAAGGGAAGGGUGAGACCCAAGGCAGGGGGUCCUCCAGGAGGCUGCGCCAUAGAAUGGUUUCAAAUGACCAUCUUGCCUGAUCCAAAGGAGUGUCCCAGGAAACAUUAGUGCCCUUCCCUGGCCUCUCAUAUCCUCGCUCUUUCCUGAAUUGAGACUCCAAGGAAGAAAUGAACUAGCACAGUGGAUCUGAAAGGGGAAGAAUGUUUUUUGCGAAGCUGACAUCUGGAGUCUUAGUGUGGUCAGUGGGGAAAGAUUUCUUAAGGAAGGUGCCAAGGUUUGGAGUCUGGAAACCCAGGUGGACCACCUUGAUAAUAGAUGCUACUCAUCAUUGAGAAUUUACCAUCUGUGAGACAGGCACUAGCAUUAUCCCCAUUUUAUUUCAGGCAGAUAACUGAGGCUCAGGGAGGGUACAUGCCCAGGAAGCUGAGACAGGAUCUAAACUGUGUGUCCCCCACAUCACUGAUGUCCCAGUACCUGGCAGAAAGUCCAGGAAAUGUUUGCUGGGUGAAGUCAAAUGACCAGAUGUUGCUUCUCUGGGAAUUUACUUACUGUGCAUUUGGCCAGUGCCUCAUCUUGAUCAGUAAAUCCUCUCCCUGCCCAUAAAUAAGUCACCAUUUGGCCAGGAGGGGCAGAGAAGGGUCUAGCAGGAGGGGUAGGGAGAGGGGAGCAGGAAGGAAGGGGCUGAGUAAUGGAACUGGAUGUGCUUCUAUAAAUUAGGAAACACCCUGCUUGCCACUGACCCAGGUGUCUUGAUCAAUUUGCUCCUCCACACCCUGCCAGCCUAGCACAAUAAAGCUUCCUGUCCAUUUCGGGCCUAAUCACGCAGAACGUAAAUCCUUCAGUAGAGAGGCAGCUGCGUGGGCUGGGGCGCAGUCCACAGGGCUGUUCUUUUCCGUCCUCUGGCACACAAGGAAAUCAGGACUGCACCUCCGCUCACCAGAACUGCUGGACUCCAAAAGUGGAGUAAGCAUGCCUUCUUCCCCCUCAGGCUCUCGGGGCCUCUGGAUGAAGGAUGAAAAGAACAGUUAUCGAAUGAUUCUGGAGUGCUUAGCUGCUUUAUGUGUGAUUCAAUCCUCAAAAAAGCCCUAUGACAUAGGUAGUCUUUUCCUGUUACAGCCAAGGAAACUGAGCUCUGAAAGGGGAGGGGUCCAAGGUCAGAGGCAAGUGAGGGCCGGGUCUUGAAGGGACAUAUCUAUACAAAAAUAUUUUAUUGACAUAUAAUCGAUUUACAAUGUUGUAUUAAUUUUUGCAUACAGCAAAGUGAUUCUGUUUAUAUAUAUAUACAUAUAUAAUUUUUAUAUUAUGGUUUAUCACUGAAUAUUGAAUAUAGUUCCCUGUGCUAUACAGUAGGAUCUUGUUGUUUAUCCAUCCUGUAUAUAAUAGUUUGCAUCUGCUCAUCCCAAACUCCCAAUCCUUCCCUUCUCCCAACCCCCUCCUGGCAACCACAAAUCUGUUCUCUCUGUGAGUUUGUUCAUUUUGUAGAUAUGUUCAUUUGUGUUGUAUUUUAGAUUUUGCUUAUAAGGGAUAUCAUAUUUGUCUUUCUCUUUCUGACUUUGCUUAGAAUGCUAAUCUCUAGGUCUACCCAUAUUGCUAUAAAUGGCAUUAUUUCAUUCCUUUUUUAUGGCUGAAUAAUAUUCCACUGUGUAUAUAUAUGUAUAUACAAUGGAAUAAAUAUGUAUACACAAUGGAAUAAAUAAUAUAUAUAUACAUAUAUAUAUACACAUACCAUAUCUUGUUUUUUAUAGAUUAACUUUUAUGUAAUUUUUGGAGGGAUUUCUGAUAGGGGGAUGAGAAAAUUGAAGGUUAUAUCACUUUCUAGAAUGUAUUUUGGUUAUAUAUAUUUAACAAACAUUCACCAAGGGUCUAUUUCACAUUGACAUUGGCUGUUUUUUACAAUAGCUUAUCUGUCCACAUUUCAUACUAAAUAGAGGAAAUAAUCCUGUCCUCCAGAGUCUACCUUUUUCUUCUUAGUUCUUAGAUAUUCUGGUUUAUAUUCUAGCUGAUUGCAUUUGCCCUAAGAUCCUUUCUCUUGCUUCAGAAAUUACACUUUGCCUCCCUUCUCUGAUGACCAUUUGUCCUGCCUCCCCGUUCUUAUUUUGGCCCCUUCCUCUAUAGGGACACCUGCAUCUCUAGGUUAGAAACACACCUGCUAGUCCUGAAUCUACCCUUCUAAUUAGUUUAGCUGCAAGCCCCUUCCUUCAGAGGAGAAUUGAACACUUGCUACUGUGGAUAUGGAGACGAGAAAGACACCAUUCUUUUUCUCCAUGAACAUGGAGA